GCCGCGGUAAUUCCAGCUUCAGCAGCAUCUAUUAAAGUUGCUGCGGUUAAAAGGCUCGCAGUUGAAUGUCUGUAUCGAGCGCAGGUCAGGUGGACGUUGGGGCGUGGAAGUACGGGCAGUUGGAUGUCCGGGGGGCCUCGUGCUCAACGGCUCCUUCGGCUUUUCCACACACCCCCGUCCCUUACAAGCCUCCUCGCUCGGGUACAUAACGGGAAUCGGUCAAACGGAGUGUGGUCUUGGGAGUUGGGGUGUGCGUGGCUUCGCGGUUGCGUGCGUUCUUUCUUUCGGGGCUGCGUCAAGCUCCAUCGGUUUCACGGUCACCUUGAGUAAAUCAGAGUGCUCAAAGCAGUCGUAGGGGCCUUGCGCCCUGUGAACAGUCUUGACGGACUGACUUGGUUUUGCAUGGCAUGUCGGAAGACGACGUCGUGUGCUGGCUCAGAGGAUAAAUCAGUGGUACAAGCCAGCCUCGACGUAAUGAUUAAAAGGGACGGUCGAGGGCAUUGGUAUUGCGAGGCGAGAGGUGAAAUUCUGUGACCCCCGCAAGACCUCCUGAAGCGAAAGCGUCUGCCAAGGACGUUUUCAUUAAUCAUGAACGAAAGUUAGAGGAUCGAAGGCGAUCAGAUACCGCCCUAGUUCUAACCCUAAACGAUGCCAACCAUCAAUCCGCGCGUAGCACCCUUCUUAACGGGCUCGGCGGGCAGCUCCCCACUCACGGGAAACCAGAGCCUCUGGGUUCCGGGGGGAGUCUGGUUGCAAAGCUGAAACUUAAAGGAAUUGACGGAAAGGCACCACCAGGCGUGGAGCCUGCGGCUUAAUUUGACCCAACACGGGCCAUCUCACCAGGCCAGCACUCUUGUACGAUUGACAGAUUGAGAGCUCUUUCUCGAUUCAGUGGAUGGUGGUGCAUGGCCGUUCUUAGUUGGUGGAGUGAUCUGUCUGGUUAAUUCCGAUAACGAACGAGACUCUCCCCUGCUAACUAGUCGGUUGGAUCUUGAUCAGUGGGUUGAGUGCCGAGUAGCUCUCGCUGUGCGUGUUGUGCGUCUCGUUCCUCACGGUUCGUUGCGUGCUCAUGUGUGGCGUUGGAUGCCUUGGAUCACACUGCACCCCAAGUCCGCCGCUUUGCUAUAACUCUUCUUAGAGGGAUUCACGGCACUGAAGCCGUAAGAGACUGAGAGCAAUAACAGGUCUGUGAUGCCCUUAGAUGCUCUGGGCCGCACGCGCGCUACAAUGCCGGGCACAGCAGGUGUUUCUCCUGCUCCGACAGGAGCGGGUAACCCUCUGAAAGCCAGUGUUCUUGCAAGUGCUUCCUCCCUCGUGGAGUUGCACAGAGGCGUGCUUGGGCCUGGGACUUGCAAUUCUUUCCCACCAACGAGGAAUGCCUAGUAGCGGCGGGUCACUGAGCCCGCUGUGACUCAGUCCCUGCCCUUUGUACACACCGCCCGUCGCUACUACCGAUUGGGUGUACCAGUGAGAGCCUUGGACUGGCGUCCGUUGUUGCUCGCAAGAGUGACAAGCGGGUCCGACGGAAAGAGGUCCGAACUGGUGCACUUAGAGGAAGUAAAAGUCGUAACAAGGUUUCCGUAGGUGAACCUGCGGAAG
rnacentral:rRNA from 1 species